UUCCAGGGACUUGAAAAGGGAAAUGAGGAGCAACUAUAAAGUGUCUGUGUCUCAUGACCCUGUCAGAUUCAUAGGGAAAUGAACGUAUAGAAGGCUACAGGCCAUCCUAGCAAAAGAGGCAACAGGCUUCUGACUCUUGACGAAACCUCUACCCGCCUGCCCUUCUCCCAUUGAUGGGAGGGCUCCUCCAGCACACCAAUAUUUUCUGGACUUUUCAAAGUCAGCAAGUAUGGCUUCCUGCAUUGAGAGGUCUGAGUAGCCAUUUUUCCCAGUGAGAUUGCUUGAGCCAAGCUGGAUGCUGGUUUGUCCCGAGGGAGCGAGUAAAUUGAUGCAGGUCCCAUCUUUGGUUUUCGAAGUUCUACUGUGGCCAGAGGAACUCGGAGGCACUGAGCUGGGGGGACCCAGACACUGUGGUUGUUCAGAAGACAACUUUGAGUCCCUUCUAUCAUCUUUUUCACCAUUGAUUUAGGAGAGGUUCAGAAGAUAUAAUUUACAGCCUCCAGAAGUCUAGCCGAGAGCAAUUGGAUGGUGUCCAGCUUCACCGGAAUCAGAAAGGAUGCGGUGGGCUAGCCCACAAUGAAGACGGCACUGAGAGGUGGCAGGGCUCCAGGCUUGCGUGACGGCCCGCGGGUGGACAGGAUGCAGCCGUGACUCCUUCUCUUCACCCAGGACCCAUCAGCUCUGAGAGCCCUGAAGCCCCCAAAGUAGCUGAGUCAAAGGGCCCCAAAUCUGACCAAAGUGAUUAACCUUGGUCCUGCAUCCAGUGGACACUCCUGGCAUCUUCCCCCGCGGCUUUCAGACGUCUGUUGGCCUGGACACUCUUCUUGCUUUCAAAUGUGCAUCUCGCCCCUUUGCAUCUCAAACACAAUGUGUGCAGAGGAAGCGCAAGGCUUCUAAGUGAACCUGAAAUCAGCAACAGGUAGGACCGGAUCAGCCCCUUAACUCUGCAUGUGCGCGGUCGUCCAGAGAGCCCCAGAAACGCUGCUGGAGGCGACAGCUGGUGGUUUGCAGUUUUCCGAGUUGUUCUUGUUUUCCUAGAUGGUUGAUCCAUCACAGAAGAAUGGAAGUCCCUAGCGGUGGUAAAAUAGAAAAGGAUAUCUUUGAAAGAUGUCUUAGAGAGAUGUCUGAAAGGAAGGAAGAAAAUGAGAACCCAGGGAAAAAGGAGAACAGAUUUAACCUCAAGGAAGGGAGCACAGAGAAUAGGUAAAUGGAUGCAGAUUGACCUUUCUCCGCAAUUAGCACGGUGGCCAGGAAAACAGGAGCGUGUGGGGCACACAGAGCCUUUCACAUUUACUGUUGUCCCUAUGAAGUGUGGGGUCUGCGGGAGCCGUCUGUUCAGGUAAGGGCAGUGGAGAGAACAGGAUGCCCCAAGCAACCCAUAAAUAGCAGGGUGAAGACAAAGUGUUUAUUACUUAGCCUCAUGAAGCCCAUAUAAGUGCUCUCCCAGGGUGCGAGAGAGCAAGAGCAUGUGUGAGCUGGCCCGCGUAUGUCCCGGGAGUGGGAGUCCCAGAGCCCAUGUUCGCGCUUGGCUUGAUUCUAUGAAGGCGUCUAUUUGAUGGAACGUACUGGAACAGUUCAUAGCCAGCCCAGCAAACCUUGUGUGGAGACAGAGCUUUCUUUUUCUCUUCCCUUUUCCUGUUUGCAGUGAGAAUGAGGCCUUUCUCUUCUCGGCCCUUUGCUCUCCCCAAAGUUGUCUCACGAGGUCAUUGCCAGCUGACAGGCUUCCUUUCAGGGCAAGGUUUGGAUGGAAACAAUGCUCUGUUUUCUAGGGGGCUGGUGAGGCUCUGGGCCUAUUCCCGACUAGGCUGCCCUAAAUUGAAAUGGGUUAUUGUUUCAGUAGGGCUCUCAGUUUCUACAGACAGCUCGAUCUAUGUGA